rnacentral:rRNA from 1 species
UACGAAGGGUGCAAACGUUGCUCGGAAUUAUUGGGCGUAAAGCGCACGUAGGCGGCUUUUUAAGUCAGGGGUGAAAUCCUGGAGCUCAACUCCAGAACUGCCUUUGAUACUGAGAAGCUUGAGUCCGGGAGAGGUGAGUGGAACUGCGAGUGUAGAGGUGAAAUUCGUAGAUAUUCGCAAGAACACCAGUGGCGAAGGCGGCUCACUGGCCCGAUACUGACGCUGAGGCACGAAAGCGUGGGGAGCAAACAGG